rnacentral:lncRNA from 1 species
GUGGUCUUGAAUUGAAUACACCUUUUAAAAGUCUUAUUAUGUAUGGAUGUUGGCCUACAGGAAUUUUUUCUAUAGGCGGUAAGACUGUAGAUAACAUGGACCUAUAUCCAGCUAUUGUUCUAUAUUGAAGUCCCUUAGUAAACAGACCUGUCAAAAAAUCUGCUACCUCUGUCAAAGAGGCAGUAUAGGGAUCAAUUUCCCUUUCAUUACA